ensembl:lncRNA
GACGCCCCACCCUUGGUUCAGCCAUUAGCUUCCCUCACCCUGGGCCCUGCAGUGCGCGGAGCUCCCAUUGAUUCCAGCGAUCAAACCAUGUACUAAGUGAUUCUUCAGACGCCCAAAUGGCUCCCUGAGCUAGACUCCCAUUGCCAUUUCCUGGAGAAAUCAAUACCACUAAAAAGCCAAGUCCGGAAAAAAGAAGAAGAAGAAGAACCUGUGUCCUUUAAAGUGAAAACCAUACAACCUGGCGAACCUGAUGUGGGCCUGGUGUCUUGACGCAGCGCUGGGCCUUUAGUGGGCCUCUGAUGUCGUCCUCAUCCUCCUCCAGGUUUUACGCAGAGCUGCACAUCACCGGAGUGUCCUUAGUUCACUCUUGGAUGCCUAAUAUAUAAGGGCCAGUACUACCCAUCGUCCUCUCUGAUGGCCAUACAGAGUCCAUUUACCUGCUGUUGAUAAUGAGGCAGAUAACGAAGCAGACAAAACUCGUCUAAUAUUUAGAGGUGAUGGAACUGGGUCUGGUUACACUCAUUUCAGAGUGAGUAGCGACAGUGAAAUUAAUCCUCGGCGACUCGUCGUUGGUGCUCAAUUGAUGGAGAGCAUGAGCACGGAGCCCCUCACUGGCUUGAAGUGGUUUCCACCUGGAAAUUCUGAAAUUGGAGCCCCGGAUCAUCUGUGUGAGAGGCUCUGCAGAACAAGCAGCUCGGUGGUGGUCUUGGUUGGGGAGGCGUGUUAAUCAGCGGCUCAUCUAUUAGUAAAGACCCAGCAGCAUCAUUGUACCGCUUGCUGCUGUUGCACCGGCAUCACUGCCACCUCGUCCACCCCCUGCCGUGCCAGUGAAACAGAGCUUGUAACAUGAGAGAGCACUGCCUGCCACCUAACACCAACACGAGAAACCUUGCACUCUGGCUCAAUUUAUUAUUAUGUAUAUGCUUUAAAAAAAAAAAUCAUACAUUAAACCUAAUACAAAUUUAUUCAGGUUACAGCACAUAAAAAAAAAAAUCUAAUUUCUGCUCUUGUAACUUAUUAAACCAUAAAGCUGGAGGCCUAAAGUCACAAAAAAGCAUACACUGUCUCUUUUAUACACAUAGAUUGGCUGAAAUUGCCUUUGUUAGAGAAUGUGCACACAAGGCAGGAUCACUGCUAAAAGCCUUGCUGUGGAAAGUGCUGUAGCCAACCGUGAUUGAUCAUAACUUGGAGCAGAUAGUCAUGAGUCUAAUGUGAAGCCUCGGGGCAUCAUAAUGCCUUAAAAGGCCACAGAGGCACAGGACACCUGACCACCCUGCUCAGCGUGGACCAAUCAGACAGCUGGUGAAUGGCUUUGGCAUUACGUCAUGCAGGCCCGCAGUUUGUCUUGACCAACGCACUGCGGAUAAAACAGAAGCUUUAAAUAUUUCAUUGAGGAUCUCAGGUUGCUGGACUUCUGGAGGUCAGGGCUGUGUGGAGACAUAGCCUCGCCCUCUUCUCCCUCCCUGCAUCCUCCUUUUCUGAUGCAGGAACAGGGUGUCGGGCUUUAGAAAGAGGUUGAACAAUACUCCUUAGCCAUAUUGCAUAAAAUAAAGCAUAUAGUGUGUGGGCCUGUCAUCAUUUGUCAUCAAAGCUGCUGUUGCUUGGAAUGCCCAAAUUCAGAUUUAAACUAACACAUCCUAAUUACAAGACAUGCAAAUAUGCUGCUACAAGAUGUCAGAUUUUCACCCUGCCAAUUUUAUACAUAAAGGUGACAUUACUCAUCACUAUUACUCAUAACCUUGACAAAUGUCACCUUUUAGUUUAGACUUCGGAUUUGCAUGUUUUACAGACUGUGUGUGUGUGUUUAAAAGAUAAGGUUUCUAACAUGCAAAGAUGGCAAAAUGAGAGACACAAGUCAGUUUUAGAAGCUUUUGUUUUUCAAGAUUUACUCAAACUAGGGAUUACGAGUCAGGUCAGCUGCUGUUGCCCUUUCUUUUCUUUCUUUUCUUUUCUUUUCUUUUAAAAUCUUUAAAUCUGUCAUGUAGCUGAAGUGCAGUAGCCUACUAAUUUGCUGCAGAACUCCUUGAUGACAUUCAGGAUGUGGAGGAUCUGGCUGCUCACCAGGUCUUCCCUUAUUACAUCAAUCUUUGUGUGGCAGAAUCUUUUUCAUGUUUUCUGGCUGUGCUGGCACACAAACCACGACCUGUUGAUCACCUGACUGACAUUCCAGGCCAAGAUGAAGACCCUCUAGGGCUCCGACACGCUGUGGCUUGUGGCCUGGCACUGAAUAUACAAUACAGGAAAAAUAGAAGUGUAUGCAGGAUGUACUGGAAGGCUGUUUGUAAUUUAUAUAUUUUUUCUACAUAACCUAAAGAAAGGAAAUAGAUACACAAUACAGCAAAUUUACAAAAAGAAAAAUGAACACAGAACUAUAAGAGAGUAAUUAUGUGGCUCUGCACUGCUACUGCAAUAAGAACAGACAGGAAGGGAGAGCAGAUUGCUGCGUGACAGAAUACAUUUUUCAGAGGAGAGAGGAUUAAACAGCCUUAUGUCACAGCAUUUAUUUUCUCCUGCUGUGAUUAUACAGAGCGGGUUGCGACUGAGGACAAAGGAUGGAGCAGGAGGCGGCGCCCUCAUCUGGCCUGUUGGCGGACACUGCACUGAACUUUGAGACUGCCGUCAUAGCAAGGUUGAUCGCACACAGCUCAAUAUCUCCCUUCAAAAUAAAACCCCAAUCCCUAUAGCUCUCACAAUCUUAACAGCUCUUAGACAGAUCAAUGAAGUAUUUAAUACUGAUUUACACACCGAAGCCAAACCUCUCCACAUCUUCCUAAAUUUGAAAGAGGUUGAUUCUUUACCCAUGAAUAGCAUUCUUAAAGGUAAAUAUGCUCCGUAGAUCAGGUGCUGUGUGUCUGAGGUCAUUCGGCAAGACUGGGGUAGUAAUAUGAGUCUCAAGUUUCACAGUACUCACAGAGACUAUGCCAGACUUUAAGUACAAACAUGAUGGGGGAUAUCAGACACAGGAGUGCAGUUCGACACUGACACCUAGUGGAAUAAGUUGAUAGUUAAAGUGGACCUGUUAUACUAUGUUAUAUUCUAUUCCAGCUUAGCCUCUACUAAAGCGAAUUAGCAUGGUUCACACUUUAAAUUGAGCCCUCUUUAUCUUAUAGUGGUCCUUAGCUCAGCCUCUCAUCUCUUCCUUUAAGUCAACUUUCCUCUGAUUGGCUGCCCCUCCUAAUCACAAGGUUGGGCAAUUUGUCCAGAGCUGAAGGCACCUUUAAGUCAGAUGCAUUGCUUUAUAUCCAGGACUUUGCCACUUAGUUGCCGUUUCUUAUCGUGUCAAGUGGACCUUGAGAGGAAAACCUGAAGUGAGAGUCUUAGACGGAAAGAAAGAAAACCGAAAACUUGAAUCUCAUUCUCCUGUGCACGAUAGAUGUAAUACUGAUGAAGUUUAUAACCAGCCUCAAUGAUUAUUUGAAGUAUCCAGACACAUCUGUGCCAUAAGAUGAAAAGAAUACUGUUUUGAGGCUUACAUAUUAUGGUGUCUAACCCCAGAUGGACACAAUGGGCCAGAUGGAGACAAAGUAUUCUUUUUGUGGUUCUUCAGAUUGUCUUCUGGUAGUAUUUGUAUAGGAUACAAAAGGAAAACAGGGGUAAGACAUGCAGCAAGUGGCCCACAGAGGAGCCUGGCUGCCUCAUUAUCCUCACAGCGUCUGGGUCACCUGCUUGAGCUUAACAGCACACUGUUGUUGCUGAUUUGUCAGUUGCACAUCCAUGAUCCAAACCACAACUCCACCACAUCCCAAAGGUGCUCUAGUGGAGUGACAUAUGUUGAUUGUGGAGGUGAAUUUAGUACAGUGAACUCAGUGGCAUGUUUGUGACACGGCUGCUGGAAGCACCAUGGAACAGUUUGGGCAUACAUCGAUGACCUGACAUGACCAGCAACAAUAGUCAGGUAGACUGUGGCACUGGAACCAUGCUCAGCUGGUACAGAAGGGUCCAAUCAUUACACCACCAACAGUCUGAACCAGGAAGGAUGGAUCCACACUGUCCUGUUGUUAACGCAGUAGCCUGACCCUACCCUCUGAAUGUUGCAACAGAAAUUAAUCAAUGAAAUCUUUAUUUUGAACCAUUCUGUGUGUUAAUCCAUAAUAAAAAAUAAUUGUUGAUACAAAUUUAGGAUCAACAAAAUGAUUUUUCUUUUUAAAAAGCACCAUAUUCCAAUUAUUUUUUGCACCUUUACUGUUUGAAAAGCUCAUACAUAUAAUACACUCAUCACACCACACUGGCAUCAACAAUCAUUCCAUGUCCAAAGUCACUUACAUCCCUUUUCUUCCUCAUUCUGAUGCUUAGUUUUAACUUCAGCAGGUUUUCUUGACCAUGUCUACAUGCUUACACUGUGUGCACAAUUAUUAGGGAAGUGAGUAUUUUGGCCGUAUUAUAAUUUUUAUGCAUAUUUUCCAACUUCGAGCUGGAUAAACUUGAGUGCCUAUUGGAUUUAAGCAUAUCAGGUGAUGUGUAUUUGCGUAAUGAGUGAGGGUGUGGCCUAAAGAGAUCAACACUCAAUAUAAAGGUGCGCAUAAUUUUUAGGCAGCUUCUCUUCCUCAGGUAAAAUGGGCCAAAAAAGAGAUUUGAAGGACUCUGAAAAGUCAAAAAUUGUAGAAGUUCUUUCAGAGGGACGCAGAACUCUUGAAAUUACCAAGAUAUUGGGGGUGUGACUGACCACAGAACCAUCAAACGUUUUGCUGUUUUGCACCCAGAUGGAUGGGCCCAUGGCUGGAUCAGUAACGGACACAGAGCUGCACUUCGACUCAGACGCCAGCAAGGUGGAGGUGGGGUACUGGUAUGGGUUGGUAUUAUUAAAGAUGUGCUUGUUGGACCUCUUCGGGUUAAUGAUGGCCUCAAAAUCAACUCCAAAACCUACGGCCAGUUUUUAGAAGAGACUUUCUUCAAGCAGUGGCACAGGAAAAGGUCUGCAUCUUUCAAGAAGACCAUGAUUUUUAUGCAGGACAAUGCUCCGCCGCAUGCAUCAAAGUACUCCACUGCAUGGCUAGUCAGUAAAGGCCUUAAGGAUGAAAAAAAUAAUGGCAUGGUCCCCUUCCUCACCUGACCUAAACCCUAUUCAGAACCUGUGGGCCCUGCUUAAAUGGGAGAUUUAUAGUGUAGGGAAACAGUACACCUCUCUGAACAGUGUCUGGGAGGCUGUGGUUGCUGCAGCACAAACAGUUGAUUGUCAACAGAGC